GAUGAACGCUGGCGGCGUGCCUAAUACAUGCAAGUCGAGCGAAGCGGGGGCGGGUGAGUAACACGUGGAAAACAUCCUAUCAGUAUGGGUUAAAUUCGGGUAACCGGUGCUAAACCGGCUACUUAUCGAUGGCUCCGCGGUGCAUUCGCUAGUCGGUAAGUUAACGGCUCACCAAGGCAACGAUGCAUAGCCGACCAGAGAGGGUGAUCGGCCACACUAGAACUGAGACACGGUGCAGACUCCUACGGGAGGCAGCAGGAGGGAAUCGUCCGCAAUGGGCGAAAGCCUGACUGAGAAACGCCGCGUGAGUGAUGAGGGUCUUCGGAUCGUAAAACGUUGGUAGUAGGGAAGCGGUACCUAAUCAGAAAGCCACGGCUAAGUACGUGCCAGCAGCGGCGGUAAAAC
rnacentral:rRNA from 1 species